UCUUAGUGACUGGUGUUGUGGCAUAACUGGCGUUGAAACGAAGUGUGUGACUGUGUAUGUUGUGAAUUAAGUUCGUUAUAAUAUUGCAGCAAGAUGAGUUUGAGUCUGAUUCCUGAAGAGAGAAUACGAGCUAUUGGAUCAGUGUUGAACGACCAGGAAAGGCCGCUGAAAGAAAGAUUUAGAGCAUUAUUCACAUUGAAAAACAUAGGCGGACCUGUUGCUGUUGAAUGUAUUAAGCAAUGUUUUAAUGAUCCUUCGGCGUUACUGAAACAUGAACUGGCAUACUGCCUUGGACAGAUGCAGGAUCCCAUCGCAAAUCCUAUUCUGAUAGAUAUUUUGAGAGACCGUAAUCAGGAGCCCAUGGUCAGACAUGAAGCAGCUGAAGCACUUGGAGCAAUAGGAUCAAUGGAAGUAUCUGACAUUCUAAGGAAAUAUGUUGAAGAUCCAGUUGUUGAAGUAGCUGAAACAUGCCAGUUAGCUUUAGCAAGGAUUGAGUGGUUUCAUAAAUCCAGGGAACCAGAUGAUCAGCAGAAGAGUCCAUAUGCUUCAGUGGACCCAGCUCCACCAUCAUCUGAAAAUGAUGUACCCCAUCUGAAGAACAUCUUGUUGGAUGAGAACAGCAGUCUAUUUGAUAGAUAUAGGGCUAUGUUUUCCUUAAGAAAUAUUAACACAGAGGAAAGCAUAUUGGCAUUAUGUGAAGGGCUAAAAGUCGGAGGUGCCCUAUUUCGUCAUGAGAUUGCUUUUGUAUUAGGGCAAAUACAAAGUGCGGUAUCUGUUCCGUUUCUGGAGGCAUCCUUGAAAGAUGCUUCUGAAAAUGAAAUGGUGCGCCAUGAAUGUGCAGAAGCUCUGGGUGCUAUUGCAUCUCCAGAAUGCUUUGAAAUACUGAAGGAUUACCUACAGGACCCAAAACGUGUUGUGAAGGAGAGCUGUGAGAUUGCCCUUGAUAUGUGUGAAUAUGAAACAAGUACUGAGUUCCAAUAUGCUGAUACACUGCUGAAAGUCCAUUAAAUAUAUGAUUGUCAUCAGCAAUGUAUUACAGAUCCAUCUAUGUAACUACUUAUAUAUGUACCAAAUUAACUGUAUAUAUAUAAAGAUAAUGUGAUGGAACUAUUGUAACAUAUUUAACUGUGAAAGAGCUUGAAUAGUGUGAAAAUUUCAGUAAAAUUUUCCCAUUACCAAGUAAAUUUGUGUGACGAAAAUCUCUCACUGGUCACAAAAAAUAAAUGAUCACUUGCAAUGAAACAAAAAAUGGCAUUUUCAAUGGAAUUGAGUCAGUACACUUGGAGACUUCUUAUGCCUGAAGAAUGUAAUUUUAGCAGAGGUAGAGGAGGGAGAAAAACAUUGGAAAGAGGACUAAAACACUGUGCAUUGCUGGCCCAACUAUGCUUGGCGUCGUCUCCUUUGUUUGGAAGUGAAGAAGGGGAUAUACUCCUCUAGUUCAAGGAUUUAUGAGAAAAAUGUUACUCGUGCAAUCAUGGACUAGUUGCUAAAGAACUUUAGUUUCAUGGAAAUAAUAUACACUUACUAAUCAUUGGUGUAGUAUCAUGUUUGUUCAUAUGCUAGUGCUGUUUACUUCAAAUCACAUGUAGCUUAGUGUGAAAUAUGACAUUUUAACCAUCGUAGACAUAUCUUUCUCAAAUACCUGGAAAUAUUAUUAUUCAAGCUUUCAUGUGACAGGAUAAAAUUAAUUGGUUUUUGUAAAAUCUUAUGCUUAAAUGUUUGUGUGUACUCUGCAGUGAAUAGGUACUGGUAAAUGUCACGGAGAUAUACUGCAA